rnacentral:rRNA from 1 species
GACGAACGCUGGCGGCGUGCCUAAUACAUGCAAGUUGAGCGAUGAAGAUUGGUGCUUGCCCCAAUUUGAAGAGCAGCGAACGGGUGAGUAACGCGUGGGGAAUCUGCCUUUGAGCGGGGGACAACAUUUGGAAACGAAUGCUAAUACCGCAUAAUAACUUUAAACAUAAGUUUUAAGUUUGAAAGAUGCAAUUGCAUCACUCAAAGAUGAUCCCGCGUUGUAUUAGCUAGUUGGUGAGGUAAAGGCUCACCAGGGCGAUGAUACAUAGCCGACCUGAGAGGGUGAUCGGCCACAUUGGGACUGAGACACGGCCCAAACUCCUACGGGAGGCAGCAGUAGGGAAUCUUCGGCAAUGGACGAAAGUCUGACCGAGCAACGCCGCGUGAGUGAAGAAGGUUUUCGGAUCGUAAAACUCUGUUGGUGGAGAAGAACGUUGGUGAGAGUGGAAAGCUCAUAAAGUGACGGUAACUACCCAGAAAGGGACGGCUAACUACGUG